GCCCUGGUGGCCCUGGUGGCGCUGGCGGCGCGGAGGCGGCACAAGGAGACGAGAUAUGGCGCCGCGUUCUCUCCCGCCGUUCGUUUCCGUGUGCGCAGCUCCUACGGGCGCCGCUCAGCGCAGGCCACGCUGAACCGUUUGGGGAUCAGCCCUGAGCUCAAGGAGAAGCUCCGGGACGUUCUCGUCGAGCGGCACCGGGUGGCGCUGGGCAAGACGCUGGGCGAGGGUGGGUGCCCCAAAUCCCCCGAAAUCAC